rnacentral:rRNA from 1 species
CUACGGGAGGCAGCAGUCGGGAAUAUUGCGCAAUGGAGGAAACUCUGACGCAGUGACGCCGCGUAUAGGAAGAAGGUUUUCGGAUUGUAAACUAUUGUCGUUAGGGAAGAUAAAAGACAGUACCUAAGGAGGAAGCUCCGGCUAACUACGUGCCAGCAGCCGCGGUAAUACGUAGGGAGCAAGCGUUAUCCGGAUUUAUUGGGUGUAAAGGGUGCGUAGACGGGAAGACAAGUUAGUUGUGAAAUCCCUCGGCUUAACUGAGGAACUGCAACUAAAACUAUUUUUCUUGAGUGUUGGAGAGGAAAGUGGAAUUCCUAGUGUAGCGGUGAAAUGCGUAGAUAUUAGGAGGAACACCGGUGGCGAAGGCGACUUUCUGGACAAUAACUGACGUUGAGGCACGAAAGUGUGGGGAGCAAACAGGAUUAGAUACCCGAGUAGUC